GGAGGAGCUGUUCUCCGCGCGUUAGGCGCAUGCGCAUUCUGCGGAGCGUUGUUUCCUUGGCAGCUGUUGUUUGUUUUCGGCAAAAUUAGCGUAAGAGACUGCGACGGGGGAUGAGGAAGAAACCAAGUGGCGGGGGGGAGAAGGGGCAGCCGCGGCCCUAGCUCGAGGGAUGCUGGAGACCCGGUCAAAUUAUCUGCAUUCUUCUUGAAUUGUGGACAUCAGAACUGGACACAGUAUUCUAAUGAUGGUCUGUACUAGUGCCAAAUGAAAAGGACUAAAUCAAGAAUUGCCUCUCCCCUUUUGGGUUCCAGGACUAGCUGUUCCAAGAAGUAGUCAUUCUGCAUCCGCUCCUGAGUCUUGUGAAAUCUCAAGCUAAGCAGUUACACCUGUGAAUCCUUGGAUGGGAAACCUCCAUAGAAAACAUGGUGUGCCUCAAAAUGGUGCUGGAGAUUCAGCAGCUUGCCCAAUCGGUGUCCAAGUUCAGUGUUGAGAAGCAUUUUUCUGUGCAGAUGCUGUAUUUCUGGUGAGAUGUAAGCAAACAAAAUCUGAAGUCAUGAUCGUUUGUGAUCACUAAAAAU